CUGAGACACGAAAGCGUGGGUAGCAAACAGGAUUAGAUACCCUGGUAGUCCACGCCCUAAACGAUGCAUAUUUGGUGUGGGCAGUUCAUUCUGUCCGUGCCGGAGCUAACGCGUUAAAUAUGCCGCCUGGGGAGUACAGUCGCAAGGCUGAAACUCAAAGGAAUUGACGGGGGCCCGCACAAGCGGUGGAGCAUGUGGUUCAAUUCGACGCAACGCGAAGAACCUUACCUGGGCUCGAACGGCUUCGGACAGUCCGUGGAAACAUGGAUUUCCCGCAAGGGACUGGAGUCGAGGUGCUGCAUGGCUGUCGUCAGCUCGUGUCGUGAGAUGUUGGGUUAAGUCCCGCAACGAGCGCAACCCUUGUCCUGUGUUGCCAUGCCGAAAGGCGGAACUCGCAGGAGACCGCCAGGGAUAACCUGGAGGAAGGUGGGGAUGACGUCAAGUCCUCAUGGCCUUUAUGUCCAGGGCUACACACGUGCUACAAUGGGCGGUACAAAGCGCAGCGAACCCGCGAGGGGGAGCCAAUCGCAAAAAACCGUCUCAGUUCGG
rnacentral:rRNA from 1 species